GGGAGUCCCUAAUAAUCCCUGAGUGGUUAACAUAGAAGCAGCACUCCUCGCCCAAGGCUGCACAGAGGCCCCCUCCUUAAGGAAGAGGAGGUCCUGCUUGGCAUAGCAGGUCACUUGGGGCACUAUUGUGAGGGGGUGCAGUGGGCAGUGAGGGAGCUAGGGAAGACACAGGGCUGUAGGCCAGAAGGGGGGCACAGCCAGUGCGCUCCUGCGGGUGGGAUAAGGUAUUUCCAGUUGAGGGAUACUCUGUGACAAGGGAGGGGGAAACCAAGAGGCCGGGGAGAAAGUGAAGUAAUAGAAUCGAGUGGGUCAUGUAUUCCUUUUGCUAGCUGUCUCCCCACUGCUUCUAGUGAGUCCUGCCAUCUGGCCAGCCCAGCCAUCCAUAGGGGAACCACACAGCCUCCCGGAGGGCCAGAGUCUCAGGCCCCACCUGGUUCAGUGCCCCCUGCCAUCCCAUCCCCUCCCCUCUCCAAAUGUCUAAGGGGAAAAGGGGCGGAGGUCCAGAUCUUCUGUAGUUUCUUCAGUGCUGAGCAUGGGUGUAGAGCUGUCCCUACCUAUGUGUAAGAGAGAGAGGGAGGGGAAUAAGAGGGGGAGGGAAGGCUGCAGACAGUGUCUUUAGGGGCGCGUCCUCAGUGGAUUCCAGGGUCCCAGGUCGGUGGAGAACUGCCUGGAGAUCUGAAGGGUGUCCUGUCACUCCUUCCCUCAAUUGGCAGACCCGUCACAAGGGGAAGUCAGCCCCUAAGAGAGAAGGGUACUGGGGCAAAUAGCAGAUAGGAACAGGACAUUAAUACAAUAGCAAUGAACAUCACACAUUUGCAUUUGGGUAUCUUAACCAACAGACUUCAUCUUCAGAAAUCAUCUUCUGACAGGAACAGAUCCCUUCCUGAGUUGUUUGCAGAGCUGCCACAACAAAGACUCAAAGAACCCUAUAGGACACCCUCUCCCGACACAUCCACAUACCUGUGUCUAAAUACAGAAAGACACACAAGACAAACAGCAAAAGCCAGUAGACAAAUAACA
rnacentral:lncRNA from 1 species